CUGACAGUAGGUAACAAAUCUUAUCUCAUAUGAUAAAUAACAUAUGACAGAUUUUACAUUGUCACUAUUUAUUCAACCAAAAACAAGCGUACAUACAGAAGCCUUCUGUGACAAACUCCUCCACAUCCUGGUCCGGCUCCAGGUUCCAGAUGCGCUCCAGGUUUUCUGUCUCUCCGUCCUCAGAUUAACCUGUCAGCUGUGGAAUCUCCACUGUUCAGUGUUUGGCAGGUAAAGCUGGCCAGGAUUUCAUUCCCGGUGAAGGGCAGCAGUGGUGGCAGAGUCCUGGCACACGUGUUUUAUUCCAUUUGACCUUUGACCUC